rnacentral:tRNA from 1 species
GUCUAGGUAGUUUAUUUAGAAUAGCAAUUUGUGGAAUUGUAGGUGUUAAUUAUAACUUUAGACC